UACUCAGAUAUGCUUUGAAAAGCACGUACACUCGGUGGAAGAGCUUGAACCACACCUGUUAAACACUUGCCUUUCACCUACAUAGGGCAAUGUAGCAUAGAACUGGUGAGCUUAAGGAUGUUGCAUGAUCUCCACGGACAAGGUGGCAUCGUACAACAUUGAGUUGACUAUGGCAUCCAUCCCUCUGGGAAUAUUGAGAAUUUUAGUAAGGCCUGAAACUUCAAUCAUCAGUUCAGCAAAAGUAAUAUGUGAAGAAGACAGCAGCUUUGGGCUUCAGAGCUAAUGAAUAAGAGCAUAAAUCAAAAAGUUUGAAAAAUGAAGAAUCUCCUUAUCCAUCUGGCAGACAGACUGAUCAUAAAACCAAUCGUAUCAGUUGUUAAAACAGAAGUUUGAUUAAAUAAAUUGCCAAAAACAGAAUCUCAAAAAAUCAAAAUGAGGGGGAGAACUCCAAAACACUCAGAGGAAACAGAAGGCACGAUGGAGAUUAAAACAUUUUCACAGUGCAGCUUCCUUAGCAAAGGGUAGGGGUCAAGUAAGGAUUAGCCAUCCACAUUGCUUAAAUAUUCAAUGUUUAAAUAUUUAUUGCACUCACCCCAGAGUACAUGAAAGCUGGAGAUAGGAAGUUUCUGAGGACUUAGGGUACUACCAAUACAGAGUACAUUACAAUGACAGAGCAUGUCUGUACAUUGCAUAGUACCAUCAUCCGAUGUAAUGCAUCAAGACUAUGCCAACUGAAAUUUGGUUAAAUUGUUGACUACAUUAAAUUCCAUUAUCACUUUUGGAAAUAAAAGGAUAUAGCUUAACAAUUACCUUCACUCCUACACAAUAAAUUCCCAAUGAAUUGCUUUGGAGUAUUUCCAAAAGACAUCCAGCUCAAAAAAGAAUGCAAGCUUAUCUUUCUUUUUCCUCUUUUGAUCAUGUUCCAUCGAUUUUUCUGAUGGUCUGUCUGAACUAAAGGGACAAGUUCAGUUUCCAUCAUAGGUCGUGGGCUAUUUACACAGCAAGCUGCCAUAUUGUUCCAUGAUAAAUCAAAUACAUAGAAAUAGAACUUCCCCAAGGCUGUUCAACAGCUGCAAUGUGCCUGCGCUAUCCGAGAUGAACUAUAACGCCGGAGGAAUUGAUUUAUGUGAUUCUACACUUUCAGAGCAGGCUUGUUCUGUCGAUUGGAUACUGGUGGGAAAACAACAGGCAGAAGGCAGAAUUGUCCAAAGUGAAUCCUGUGUUUUCACAGGGAGAUGGAAAACUACAUGUAAACUUGUCAUAGUGACUGUUUCACUUUUAGACUGCUCCAAGUCCUUGCACAAUUAUACAUCAGGUACAACUUAAUUUCAACAUCCACAAUAAAGCAUCCUUCUUUAACUCUGACAUUAACUUCGAAAGAAAGGGUUAUGUGUAAAAAUUAGAGAAAGGUACUCUUUUUAAAGAAAAGCACUUUUUAAUUUAUUCAAAAAGAUCAAUCCCUUAUACCUGUGAGGCAGCAAAACAUAUCAAAACACAAAAUGAAUCUGCCAAAAUGGAGAUUACAAUGUCUGCAUAAAGACACUUCUUCACACUCUCAUAGCGUAUUUGUCUGCAUGAGGUAACUCCCAUGGCUUCACCCUUUGUUUGUGUUUAUAGAAUGUGACUAAACUCCAUCUCAGAAAGCCAAUCAGCCUUCCCAUAUUACCCUGAUCAGAGAAUACUCAACACACUAUAAUUGAAGUGAGAAAGUGCUGCCAAUAACAUCAAUUUAAACAAAUUUCUCCUUUAUGUGUAACGCUCUCAUUUAGUCAAGUUUUCAACAAUAUGCUGCAGUUCCAUAUUCCUGGAGUUCUGGUAUGUUCCAAGUACAAAAAAUUAGUUUGCUUAGGCACCAUUCAAUUUGUUUGAAUAAGAUUUCACAGCAUGAAAUGUGAGACCAUUCCAUUAUUGAAUGCUUCCAGUGCAGUAAGUUCUGGAUGGGAAGUUGAGGGAUUGCAAAGCUUGAUUUUUAGCAUAUUUAAGUUUAAACUCAUGAAGGGAAUAUUGGACGGUGGAUUCUUAUGUUUUCCAGACUUAGCUUCUUUGUGAAUACUACUUCCAACUCCUAACAUGAAAUUAGCCCUGGAUUGAAUAGAUUGAGAGAAAUGAAGCGAUAUCGAUGAUCAGGUAUCAGCAUUUGUAGAAGAAUGUGCUAAAUUCUGCCUCUAAAUUGACUGCAUUAUUACUGUUGUGCCAUAUAUGCUAAUCUCUAGUUGCACUGGAUGCUGCAUAAAGGCACCAUGUGUUAUAGCUGCAAUGGUCCCCAAAACUCUCCAGCACACUAUAUUACCAGCUUGAUCUCACCCUACCAUCUGCGAUUGUGAUGUCCACUAACAGAAAUGACUUGCUAGUUGGCAAAAGUUCUCCGAUUUUAAUUUUACAAAAGCAGAAAUUUGGAGUUUUUUUUAUUACAUUCUUGAUCUUCUACAUAAAGUGUCACAGGAUCCUUUGCAGUCAUCUGUUUAGGGCAGAUAGUGCAUUGGUGUAAUCCAUUAUCCAAAAGAGAUUGAAGCAAUAUCCCUUCUGUCCUGUACUGAAAAGAAAAUCAGUCCAGCAGUUAAGUGAUCAGAGAUAAUGGGAACUGCAGAUGCUGGAGAUUCCAAGAUAAUAAAAUGUGAGGCUGGAUGAACACAGCAGGCCAAGCAGCAUCUCAGGAGCACAAAAGCUGACGUUUCGGGCCUAGACCCUUCAUCAGAGAGUUAAGUGAUGUUCUGAUGUCAAGUUCCAUAAAAAAACCUUUUGAACUGUGGUAAGAAUCUAAUGUUGUCAUUUAUCUUGCUUAUAUCUUUAAAA